rnacentral:rRNA from 1 species
GAUGAACGCUGGCGGCGUGCUUAAUACAUGCAAGUCGAGCGGACAGACGAUGCGCUUGCUCCUCUCACGUUAGCGGCGGGCGGGUGAAUAACACGUGGAUAACCUACCUAUAAGACUGAGAUAACUUCGAGACACCGGAGCUAAUACCGGAUAACCUGUUGAACCGCAUGGUUCAACGGUGAGAGACGGUCUUGCUGGCACUUAUAGAUGGAUCCGCGCCGUAUUAGCUAGUUGGUAAGGUAACGGCUUACCAAGGCGAGGAUGCGUAGCCGACCUGAGAGGGUGAUCGGCCACACUGGAACGGAGACACGGUCCAGACGCCUACGGGAGGCAGCAGUAGGGAAUCGUACGCAAUGGGCGAAAGUCUGACGGAGCAAGGCGGCGUGAGUGAAGAAGGUGUUCGGAUCGUAAAACCGUGUUACUAGGGAAGAACAAAUGUGGAAGUAAAUAUGCACGUCUUGACGGUACCUAAUAAGAAAGCAACGGCUAACUACGUA